CCUACGGGGGGCAGCAGUGGGGAAUAUUGGGCAAUGGGCGCAAGCCUGACCCAGCAACGCCGCGUGAAGGAAGACGGCUCUCGGGUUGUAAACUUCUUUUGACCGGGAAGCGAAGAAGACGGUACCUGUCGAAUAAGCCAUGGCUAACUACGUGCCAGCAGCCGCGGCAAUACGAAGGUGGCAAGUGUUGUCCGGAUUUACUGGGUGAAAAGGGCGUGUAGCCGGGAAGGCAAGUCAGAGGUGAAAUUUGGAGGCUCAACCUCCAAAUGGCAUUUGAAACUGUUUUUCUUGAGUACGGGAGAGGCAGGCGGAAUGCGUGGUGUAGCGGUGAAAUGCGUAGAUAUAAGGAGGAACACCGAUGGCGAAGGCAGUCUGCUGGACAGCAACUGACGGUGAGGCGCGAAAGCGUGGGGAGCGAACAGGAUUAGAUACCCGGGUAGUC
rnacentral:rRNA from 1 species